rnacentral:rRNA from 1 species
AGUGAACGCUGGCGGUAGGCCUAACACAUGCAAGUCGAACGGCAGCACAGUAAGAGCUUGCUCUUACGGGUGGCGAGUGGCGGACGGGUGAGGAAUACAUCGGAAUCUACUUUUUCGUGGGGGAUAACGUAGGGAAACUUACGCUAAUACCGCAUACGACCUACGGGUGAAAGCAGGGGAUCUUCGGACCUUGCGCGAUUGAAUGAGCCGAUGUCGGAUUAGCUAGUUGGCGGGGUAAAGGCCCACCAAGGCGACGAUCCGUAGCUGGUCUGAGAGGAUGAUCAGCCACACUGGAACUGAGACACGGUCCAGACUCCUACGGGAGGCAGCAGUGGGGAAUAUUGGACAAUGGGCGCAAGCCUGCUCCAGCCAUACCGCGUGGGUGAAGAAGGCCUUCGGGUUGUAAAGCACUUUUGUUGGGAAAGAAAAGCAGCAGGUUAAUACCCCGCUGUUCUGACGGUACCCAAAGAAUAAGCACCGGCUAACUUCGUG